rnacentral:rRNA from 1 species
GACGAACCGUGCGAACGUUGUUCGGAAUCACUGGGCUUAAAGGGCGCGUAGGCGGGUGUGCAAGUCUGUGGUGAAAGCCUCCAGCUUAACUGGAGAAGUGCCAUGGAUACUGCACAUCUUGAGGAGGGUAGGGGCAUCUGGAACGGUCGGUGGAGCGGUGAAAUGCGUUGAUAUCGACCGGAACUCCGGUGGCGAAGGCGGCGUACUGGGUCUUAUCUGACGCUGAGGCACGAAAGCUAGGGGAGCGAACGGG